rnacentral:rRNA from 1 species
UACGGAAGGGGCAAGCGUUGUUCGGAAUCAUUGGGCGUAAAGGGCGCGUAGGUGGUUCUGUGUGUCUACCGUGAAAGCGUACGGCUCGACCGUAUUUUGUCGGUAGAAACUGCAGGACUUGAGGCUGGGAGGGGCUGGUGGAAUUCCCUGUGUAGCGGUGAAAUGCGUAGAGAUGGGGGAGAACACUCGUGGCGAAGGCGGCCAGCUAGACCAGUUCUGACACUGAGGCGCGAUAGCGUGGGGAGCAAACAGG